AUGGCGACCGGCGCACGGGUGAGUAACGCGUAUCCAACCUGCCCUUUACUAUGGGACAGCCCGUCGAAGGGCGGAUUAAUACCGUAUGUUGUCAUGUUGAUGCAUAUUUUCAUGACCAAAGGCUUCGGCCGGUAAAGGAUGGGGAUGCGUCUGAUUAGCUUGCCGGCGGGGUAACGGCCCACCGGGGCGACGAUCAGUAGGGGUUCUGAGAGGAAGGUCCCCCACAUUGGAACUGAGACACGGUCCAAACUCCUACGGGAGGCAGCAG
rnacentral:rRNA from 1 species